UAGGAGUUGGAAUAGGAGCUUGCU
rnacentral:piRNA from 2 species